UACGUAGGGUGCGAGCGUUAAUCGGAAUUACUGGGCGUAAAGCGUGCGCAGGCGGUUAUGUAAGACAGAUGUGAAAUCCCCGGGCUCAACCUGGGAACUGCAUUUGUGACUGCAUAGCUAGAGUACGGUAGAGGGGGGAUGGAAUUCCGCGUGUAGCAGUGAAAUGCGUAGAUAUGCGGAGGAACACCGAUGGCGAAGGCAAUCCCCCUGGACCUGUAC
rnacentral:rRNA from 1 species